CUCAAAUUUAAAAUCUGGCAGUGUAUUCUGUCCGAGUUGUAGUCUAGAGAAGCAUCAUCCGUGCUGGACCAUGUACAAGUCUCUUGGAACAGAGCGUCAUAGAGGGUGAGAAUCCCGUCCUUGACAUGGACUGCCAGUACUUUGUGUUGUGCUCUCAACGAGUCGAGUUGUUUGGGAAUGCAGCUCAAAAUGGGUGGUAAAUUCCAUCUAAAGCUAAAUAUUGGCGAGAGACCGAUAGCGAACAAGUACCGUGAGGGAAAGAUGAAAAGCACUUUGGAGAGAGAGUUAAACAGUACGUGAAAUUGUUGAAAUGGAAACGCUUGAAGUCAGUCGCGUUCUCUGGGAUUCAGCCUUGCUUUUGCUUGGUGCAUUUCCUAGUCUACGGGCCAGCAUGAAUUUUGACCAAUGGAAAAAGAUUUGGGGAAUGUGGCACCUUCGGGUGUGUUAUAGCCCCUUGUCAGAUACAUUGGUUGGGAUUGAGGUCUUAUGUGCACGCUUCGGUUGUGCUUUGAUGCUGGCG
rnacentral:rRNA from 1 species